CUUCGUUGAGGUGAGGUUAUUAAGUGUUGUGUGGAGGAAAUUGGUUAAUAAAUAAAGUGCAAAAAUAUAAUUUAAUUGUUUUCAUAUAAUUAAAAAAAAUUUUGUGUACUUAAGGAAUCUUAAAGAACAGAUAAGAACAAACGUCACUAUUUAACAGCAAAACAUAAGCGACAGCGUAAGUCUCUGGUAAACAUAAGAUAAAAGACAUAACAUCAACACAUCCAACAUAACAAAUAAAAGCUGAAAAAAUCUGUGAUAUCAAGAAACUUCAACUUAAGAAGCGAAAACAAAAACUAUAACCAAAUAUGCCCAGCACAGAAGCAACAAAGUGCAUUUUCGUAGUGCUAUUCUUGACCACAUUGACUGGUCAGUACACCUGCGAAUGUGGUCAAAUAACUUCACGUUUCUAUUACGACAACCAACACAGCAAUUCCGAGGCAGCAGCACCAGACGCCAAAGCAGAAGACAUGAAACUGAAGUUGCUUGAAGAGAGUCGAACAGAUCCGAUUCCAAUGGAGUUCUAUAAAGAAUUAGAUAAUAUAAAUGACAUAUCUGAGUUAAUCGAUCGUUACGUGGAUAAAGACACCCUCGAUCCGCAAGUUGACAUACCAAGUAACAUGAAAAGAAAUGUUGAGCGUUCUCGAGCGGUCAUACCUAAGUCAGUAACUUGUGCACCAAAAUCCACAAUUGUACCUCUUACCCCAUUAAAUGGUACAAAAGAUCCCGGCGUAUAUUACUAUCCCUCUUGCACGCAAGUCAAUCGUUGUGGCGGUUGCUGCAGUUCGAAAUUGACGACUUGCCAACCUACGGAAACCGAAAUAAUAAAUUUUGUUAUAAAAAGAAUCCGUUAUGCAGCAAACAAUAGACUUAUACUUGAUGGGCAGGAAAUAGUUCUUAUUGAAGAACACAAGGCCUGUAGCUGCGGUUGCUUAAUAAAAGCCGAGGAUUGUAACUCCUAUCAAAUCUACGAUCCAAGCCGUUGCAGUUGCAUCUGUAAAUUGGAUGAGCUGCAUGAUUUAGUGCAGAAAUGUUUAACGGAGGAUCACAAAAUUUGGGAUGAGAACAAAUGUAGGUGCGUCUGCCGUGACACUGACACUUGCACCACAGGGACCAUCUUCGAUGAGAAUCAGUGUAAAUGUGUUGAGAUAAACAAUAUUGAGUUUUUUUAAAUACUCGUUAAGCACAAAAUCCAACUCACAUUUAGCUCAGGACCCUACAACCGACAUUUAACGAAAUUAAUCAAACAAUUUGCAUUUUCUAAUUGCAAGAAAAAAAGAAUAUAAUUUAAAAAAAAAUAAUAAUGAUAAUGGAAAUAAGAUUUUGUGAUUCACAUUUUAAAUGUUUUUGAAAAAUUUUUAUUUUAAGAUUUUUAUAUACCAUAUAUAUAUUUUUUUUUGUUGUAGAAUAAAAAUCCUAUAUAAUUUGUUCUUCAUACGCCCAUUCCAAAGGCAACUCAAGUCUCUCAUUGGCCGACCGUAAACGUUUCAUAGUCAAAGCGAUACCAGUGGAUCCCGACAG